GGCGGAGCAGGAAGCCGCGGUGCUAGAAAGCAUGACCUUCAGGUGUUUCCGACUGACAUGUCACAGAAGCACCCCCUCAAGCUGGCCUAAACCUUGGAGACCUCUGUGACCUCAUCCACCCGAGGCCGAAGGUAGGGAGGGCUCUGGGCAGGGUGACCAGCAGCUCCAUGAUGUCCUUCUUUCUUUCUACUUUCCACCUUCAGAGCCAGAUGGCUGUAAGAUGUCGCCUGACAGGAGGGGCCACAGGCCUGCCUGACGUGUCCAGCAGGACGGAGCUCACUCCUGCCCGAGCUGGGACGGCAGCUCCCUGCCCUCGCAUGCACCUGACUUCAGGAGCCCUGGGGCAGGCCUCCGUGGGCAUUGGCAAGGUGCAGGCCCUAGAAGGAACCGAGCAGGAGCGGGGAGGCAUCUGAGGCCACUGUCCCCUGCAGCUGUGUGUGAACCAGCAGCUGCACUUCAUCAAGUCUCAGAGUCUACCACCUGCUUGUUUGUCCAGCCUCUUUCACAUGCACAAGGCAGCAGUCAGCUCCCGGGUCACUUCCAGAAUGGUGACCACAUCUGGCCAUGGUGGGGGUGGGGACUGCCUUUUUCUGUACAUCUCAUUUUUUUUUUUUUUCAUUUUGGUACCGGGGAUUAAACUGAGCCACCUCCUCA
rnacentral:lncRNA from 1 species